rnacentral:lncRNA from 1 species
AAAAAAAAUGCUGAAAGGCAGACAGGAGAAGGGAGAUAUACAGACAUUUUGGACUGACGGAACCUAGGAAGUAAGGACAGAAUCACAAAAUGGUUGAGAGGUUGGAAGGGACAUCUGAAGGUCACCUGCCAACCCCCUGCAUGAACAGGGCCAUCCAGAGCGUAUCCAGGCAGCUUCUGACAUCUCAAAGGACAUUAAAACUCCACAAGCUCUCUGCACAGCCGGUGCUCCAUCAUCCACAGAGUAAAGAAGUGCUUCCUGAAGUUCAGACAGAGUCUUCUGUGUUCCAGUUUGUGCCUUCUGCCUCUUAUCCUAACGCUGAGCGCCACUGAAGAUAGCACAGCUCUCUUCUUUGCAUUCUCCCUUCAGAGUAGAGACCUUUUACGUCCUGCUUGGGGAUUCCUAACCGGCUGUGUACAUCUGAUAUUGGUUCUCGACGAGGAGCAGAGAUACUGCUUGGAGGCUUAACUUCUGGGGAAUGUGGUCUUUUUCCCAGCCUUUGCCGCACGUCUAGGGAUAUUUUCAGUGAUUAAAACAAGAAAAAUCACGUUGCAUUUACUUUAGUUCUGCCAGCUAAUCUGAUGCUCAUUGCACACUUGGUAGAACUCAGAACUAGACAAAUGUUCUCAUCUUUUCUAUCCCCUUUUCAUUAAGUCCUUCAUAUUCAGAUUUCAG